rnacentral:rRNA from 1 species
GUGGGGAAUCUUAGACAAUGGGGGAAACCCUGAUCUAGCCAUGCCGCGUGAGCGAUGAAGGCCUUAGGGUUGUAAAGCUCUUUCAGCUGGGAAGAUAAUGACGGUACCAGCAGAAGAAGCCCCGGCUAACUCCGUGCCAGCAGCCGCGGUAAUACGGAGGGGGCUAGCGUUGUUCGGAAUUACUGGGCGUAAAGCGCGCGUAGGCGGACCAGAAAGUUGGAGGUGAAAUCCCAGGGCUCAACCUUGGAACUGCCUUCAAAACUCCUGGUCUGGAGUUCGAGAGAGGUGAGUGGAAUUCCGAGUGUAGAGGUGAAAUGCGUAGAUAUCGGGAGGAACACCAGUGGCGAAGGCGGGUUCCUGGCCCAUUACUGACGCUGAGGUGCGAAAGCCGGGGGAGCGAACGGGAUUAGAAACCCGUGUAGUCC